rnacentral:tRNA from 1 species
UCUCUGGUGGCUCAGGUAGAGUCUGCCUGCAGUGCAGGAGACCCAGGUUCAAUCCCUGGUUUGGGAA